CCAAUAGCGUAUAUUAAAGUUGUUGCAGUUAAAAAGCUCGUAGUUGAAUUUCGGGGUUAGUAGGCUGGUCGUGCCACUGGUAUGUACUGGUCUUACUGACUUCUCCUUUCUGAAGAACUGUAAUGCCAUUAAUUUGGUGUUGCAGGGAAUCAGGACUGUUACUUUGAAAAAAUUAGAGUGUUUAAAGCAGGCUUACGCUUGAAUACAUUAGCAUGGAAUAAUGAAAUAGGACGUUCGAUCCUAUUUUGUUGGUUUCUAGGAUUGACGUAAUGAUUAAUAGGGAUAGUUGGGGGCAUUAGUAUUCAAUUGUCAGAGGUGAAAUUCUUGGAUUUAUUGAAGACUAACUACUGCGAAAGCAUUUGCCAAGGAUGUUUUCAUUAAUCAAGAACGAAAGUUAGGGGAUCGAAGACGAUCAGAUACCGUCGUAGUCUUAACCAUAAACUAUGCCGACUAGGGAUCGGAUGAUGUUAAUUUUUUAAUGACUCAUUCGGCGCCUUACG
rnacentral:misc_RNA from 1 species